CAGCAGCCGCGGUAAUACGUAGGGGGCGAGCGUUGUCCGGAAUUACUGGGCGUAAAGGGUGCGUAGGCGGAUAUGCAAGUCCGAUGUGAAAUGUUACGGCUUAACCGUGGAGUUGCAUUGGAAACUGUGUAUCUAGAGUGCAGGAGAGGGAAGCGGAAUUCCUAGUGUAGCGGUGAAAUGCGUAGAUAUUAGGAGGAACACCAGUGGCGAAGGCGGCUUCCUGGACUGCAACUGACGCUGAGGCACGAAAGCUGGGUUAGCGAACAGGAUUAGAUACCCUGGUAGUCCCAGCCGUAAACGAUGGGUACUAGGUGUUGUCACUUCAUUGUGGCAGUGCCGGAGUUAACGCAAUAAGUACCCCGCCUGGGGAGUACGGCCGCAAGGCUGAAACUCAAAGGAAUUGACGGGGGCCCGCACAAGCGGUGGAGCAUGUGGUUUAAUUCGACGCAACGCGUAGAACCUUACCAGGGCUUGACAUCCCUCUGACGGGCAUAGAGAUAUGCCAUCCCUUCGGGGCAGAGGAGACAGGAGGUGCAUGGCC
rnacentral:rRNA from 1 species